AGAAGCGCAAGAAUGCUGCUUUAGAGUUGGAAGGGAUUGUUAAGCAUUUGACAUCUGCGGGUGACCAUGACAAGAUCACUGCUGUUAUCAGUUUGUUGUCUCAGGAGUAUACUUACUCACCUCAGGCUCAUAACCGGAAAGGAGGAUUGAUAGGACUGGCUGCAGUAACUGUUGGUUUGACUUCAGAUGCAGCACAACACCUUAAGCAAAUUGUCCCGCCAGUCUUACACUCUUUUUCGCACCAAGACAGCAGAGUUCG
rnacentral:misc_RNA from 1 species